rnacentral:rRNA from 1 species
UACGGAGGGGGCUAGCGUUGUUCGGAAUUACUGGGCGUAAAGCGCGCGUAGGCGGAUCUGCAAGUCGGGGGGUGAAAUCCCGAGGCUCAACCUCGGAACUGCCUUCGAUACUGCGGGUCUCGAGUCCGGGAGAGGUGAGUGGAAUUCCUAGUGUAGAGGUGAAAUUCGUAGAUAUUAGGAAGAACACCAGUGGCGAAGGCGGCUCACUGGCCCGGUACUGACGCUGAGGCGGCGAAAAGCGUGGG